UCUGGUUGAUCCUGCCAGUAGUCAUAUGCUUGUCUCAGAGAUUAAGCCAUGCAUGUCUAAGUACAUACCUUUAAACGGUGAAACCGCGAAUGGCUCAUUAAAUCAGCUAUGGUUCCUUGGAUCGUACAUACUACAUGGAUAACUGUAGUAAUUCUAGAGCUAAUACAUGCCACUAUGCCCUGACCCGCGAGGGAACGGGUGGAUUUAUUAGAACAGAACCAACCGGGGGCGGCUUCGGUCGUCCCUGUUGCAUUCUGUGAUGACUCUGGAUAACUUCACUGAUCGCAGUCGGCCUUGUGUCGGCGACGGAUCUUUCAAAUGUCUGCCCUAUCAAUUUUCGAUGGUAGGUGACCUGCCUACCAUGGUGCUAACGGGUAACGGGGAAUCAGGGUUCGAUUCCGGAGAGGGAGCCUGAGAAACGGCUACCACUUCCAAGGAAGGCAGCAGGCACGCAAAUUACCCAAUCCCGGCACGGGGAGGUAGUGACGAAAAAUACGGAUACGGGACUCACUAGAGGCUCCGUAAUUCGAAUGAGUACAAUUUAAAUCCUUUAACGAGGAUCAACUGGAGGGCAAGUCUGGUGCCAGCAGCCGCGGUAACUCCAGCUCCAGAANUGGGAUGGCUGCUCGCUCCUUAGCGGAGGGCUGGUUCUUCGGGGCUGGUCAUUCGUUCUCGAGUGUGGCGUGCCUCUCUUGAGCUGAUUAAUCCGAUUGGCUUGUCCUGUAAGCCGGGCGACCAGGUGCAGGUUGCUUUGGUGGUGCAUGAUCGAUAUUCGCUAGCAGGAAACUGCUGUAUGAAUGGGAAUGUGACGCCCGGGGCAACGUCUCUUCCUGUGAAAACAUGUGGUGGUGCGCAUGUGAAGCUAACGCUCCGUGAAACCGCGACACGGUCCAGCGGCUAGCUCGUUGAUUUUGAUCCUGUGCCCCGACGGCUUCGGCUGAAC
rnacentral:rRNA from 1 species